AACGAACGCUGGCGGCAGGCCUAACACAUGCAAGUCGAGCGAGGACUUCGGUCCUAGCGGCGGACGGGUGAGUAACGCGUGGGAACGUGCCCUUUGCUUCGGAAUAGCCCUGGGAAACUGGGAGUAAUACCGGAUGAGCCCUUUGGGGGAAAGAUUUAUCGGCGAAGGAUCGGCCGGCGUUGGAUUAGGUAGUUGGUGGGGUAAUGGCCUACCAAGCCGACGAUCCAUAGCUGGUUUGAGAGGAUGAUCAGCCACACUGGGACUGAGACACGGCCCAGACUCCUACGGGAGGCAGCAGUGGGGAAUCUUAGACAAUGGGGGAAACCCUGAUCUAGCCAUGCCGCGUGAGCGAUGAAGGCCUUAGGGUUGUAAAGCUCUUUCAGCUGGGAAGAUAAUGACGGUACCAGCAGAAGAAGCCCCGGCUAACUCCGUG
rnacentral:rRNA from 1 species